UCUCGACAUAGGUUUAAUUAAAGGCUCUGUGUAUUUGGCAUUUCGCUCUGUUCCUACGAGUGCACGGGUUAAGAACAUCAAUUGGAAGCCAUGCAAAUGCCCGAGACAACCGGGAGGUCAUGAAGGUGGAUAUUAUGUCAUGCGAUACAUGUAUGACAUCGUGACAAAAUAUUCAUCUGUUGA